rnacentral:lncRNA from 1 species
AGCAGGUCUAGCUAGUUGUCUACCAGACUGGCUACUGCUACUGCUACACUCUCCAAUUGCUUCUGGGACAUCUCUCCCUGCCAUUCCUGCAGCUUUGCACUGAAUGAGAGAGGCAAUUAAUAAAGAUAUACAUACAUUUUUUUGGCACGAGUGUCAGAAGAGAAAGAAUGCGAACCAUGUACAGAUUUCCAUACAUGUGAAUAGUUCACGGCCGCGACGCGUUUAGGAUUCUCAGAACCCAGGCGCACAGCCGAACACGAGAGCGCAGGCACACGAGAUCAC